rnacentral:rRNA from 1 species
CGGGACGGGUGAGUAACGCGUGGGUAACCUGCCUUAUACAGGGGGAGUAACAGUCAGAAAUAGGCUGCUAAUACCGCAUAAGCGCACAGAGCUGCAUGGCUCAGUGUGAAAAACUCCGGUGGUAUAAGAUGGACCCGCGUUGGAUUAGCUAGUUGGUGAGGUAACGGCCUACCAAGGCGACGAUCCAUAGCCGGCCUGAGAGGGUGAACGGCCACAUUGGGACUGAGACACGGCCCAGACUCCUACGGGAGGCAGCAUG